CCGGCCGCGCUGCGCGGCCGCGCUGGGCGGGAGGCGGCGGGAGAUGCGGCCGCCGGCGCUGCCGCGACUCCUGCUGGGGCCGCUGCUGGUGUUGUUGGUGCUGCUGGAGGCCGCCUGCUGCGGGGAGGCUGCGGCCCCGCGGCCCCGCGACGCCGCCACAGCUUUCCUGCGCCCUACGGAGGCGGCCGGCGGGGCCGCCACGCGGAGCAGCAGCAGCAGCAGCAGCAGCAGCCGCCUGGCCGAGGUGUCAGCGCCGCCCGAGCAGGGCCAGCCCAUGACCCAGCGCGCCCUGUCCGUGCUGGUGCUGGCCAGCGCCGCCCUUAUCGUCUACUUCGUGAUCCGGACCGUGCGGCUCAGAAGGCAAAACAGAAAAACCCGAAGAUACGGAGUUUUGGAUACAAACAUAGAAAAUAUGGAGCUGACCCCAUUAGAACAAGAUGAUGAUGAUGAUGAUACGCUAUUUGAUGUCAGCCAUCCUCGAAGUUGGAGAAGGGAUGUCAAGAUCACUUGAAUUUUAAAUGGGCAAGAAUUUAGUGGGCAAGAAGAUAAACACCAUUUGUCUUCAACAUGUGAGUUCCAGAGAAAUGGAGAGGAAGAGAAGUACGUGCCUUUCAGUGAAAGAACUUAAUCUUAGAACCAGAGAAGGAGACUGCUUCAUGGGAGAAAUAAGAAGCAAGAGGCUUUUUCUUGAAAAAAGAAAAUAAAUCCAGCAAAAAUCCUGGAGGUAAGGUAAAUGGCAUUUUUGAGGAAUCUUAAUUAAACUUCUUCAAGACUUUACAUUAUUGAAAGGUCUAGAUGCCAGGUUUUGAAACUUGAGAGAUUUCAUGAGGAAUAUGUUUGCACUGAUACUACUCCUUUUACCUGCCUUGGUCAUUGUCCAGUAUGAGGUGUGUGACUGUGUGGAUUUCUCUUCAGACCAAACACAGUCAUUUUUAUUCUGUGCUCUGAUAGAGUCCAAAGACCUCUCAUAUUUCUAAUCAGAAAACACUGUUUUGCGAAGACAUAAAUUAAACCUGGUAAAUCAAAGCAGACAUAUAUACAUUAGCAUUUUUUUGUCAUGUUUCUGAAAGUUAGUAGUACACUUCCCAGUACGAAGAUUAUUCAGAUAAGUGGUAAAAUUUAAUUCGCAGUUUAACUGUCCUUUCUAUCAGAUCUUUAAUUUUGCUUUUCCCAAUAUGAAAUCUAAAUCUUGGUUUUAGUCAUUUUAAGCCUAUUUCACUGUAGCUACAGUUAAUGGUAAAAAGAACUUUGUCUUUUUGCAGAUUUGCCAUUUCUGUCGAGAUAAUUAUAUUGCCUCACCGUCUUGUCUAAACAAGACACCCUCAGUUUCUUUUGUCCUGUAUUGGUUUUGCAUUGUUUUUGGUAAGAGGGCAUGCUACAGGGGUGGCUUCUGUGAGAAGCUGCUAGAAGCUUCCACUCUAUUCAGCAGGGUCGAUCCCUGGUGUCUACAGAAAUAAACGUGCUGCUGGCCAAACCUGGGCCAGUUAGAAAUGGUGAUAAUGCCUCUGUGAUAACAAACACAUUUAAGAAGAAAGAUAAACAAAAAGUUGUUGCUCAGUUUUAAUUCCAGCCAGAGGAGAGCAGGGUGAGAACAUGUGAGAAGAAAACUA